GACGUGUCAAACAGAUUGAUAGCUCUUUCUCUAAUGGCAUGACGUGACCGUUCUUAGUUCGUGGAGUAAUUUGUCCGGUUAAUUCUGAUAACGAUAACGAGACUCAUAUAUAUUAAAUAGAUCAGGAUUAUGGUGUUGAAACUUUUAUAGCCUUCAUCUACGAGUACAGUAAGAUGUAUCUGCGUUUGAAUGGGUUUAUAAAAGUGGAACCGUACCUGUUGGUUUGUCCUUUUAUAGGACACUAGCUUCUUAAAUAGACAAAUUGCGUCUAGCAAUAAUGAGAUUGAGCAAUAACAGAUCUGUGAUGCCCUUAGAU
rnacentral:ncRNA from 1 species